rnacentral:rRNA from 1 species
CUACGGGGGGCAGCAGUGAGGAAUAUUGCGCAAUGGGGGAAACCCUGACGCAGCGACGCCGCGUGGAUGAUGAAGGCCUUAGGGUCGUAAAAUCCUGUCAGGUGGGAAGAAGUGGAUAUAGAUUAAUACUCUAUUUCUUUGACGGUACCACCAAAGGAAGCACCGGCUAACUCCGUGCCAGCAGCCGCGGUAAUACGGAGGGUGCAAACGUUGUUCGGAAUGUACUGGGCGUAAAGCGCGCGUAGGCGGUUUGUUAAGUCAGAUGUGAAAGUCCAUGGCUCAACUAGGGAAGUGCAUUUGAAACUGGCAGACUUGAGUACUGGAGGGGGUGAUGGAAUUCCCGGUGUAGAGGUGAAAUUCGUAGAUAUCGGGAGGAAUACCGGUGGCGAAGGCGAUCACCUGGCCAGAUACUGACGCUGAGGUGCGAAAGCGUGGGGAGCAAACAGGAUUAGAUACCCUCGUAGUC